rnacentral:rRNA from 1 species
AUACGGAGGGGGCUAGCGUUGUUCGGAAUUACUGGGCGUAAAGCGCACGUAGGCGGAUUAAAAAGUUAGAAGUGAAAUCCCAGGGCUUAACCCUGGAACUGCCUUUAAAACUAGUAGUCUAGAGUUCGAGAGAGGUGAGUGGAAUUCCAAGUGUAGAGGUGAAAUUCGUAGAUAGUUGGAGGAACACCAGUGGCGAAGGCGGCUCACUGGCUCGAUACUGACGCUGAGGUGCGAAAGCGUGGGGAGCAAACAGGAGUAGAAGCCCCGGUAGUCC